AAAAGAUAGUUUAAGGUAAAAUGUUGGCUUUGGGGGCCAAAGAUGGGCUUGUGAUGUCCAUUUUUG
rnacentral:tRNA from 1 species